UACAGAGGUCUCAAGCGUUGUUCGGAUUCAUUGGGCGUAAAGGGUGUGUAGGUGGCGCGCUAAGUCGGGUGUGAAAUUUCGGAGCUUAACUCCGAAACUGCAUUCGAUACUGGCGUGCUUGAGGACUGGAGAGGAGGCUGGAAUUCAUGGUGUAGCAGUGAAAAUGCGUAGAGAUCAUGAGGAAGACCAGUGGCGAAGGCG
rnacentral:rRNA from 1 species